UACAGAGGUCCCAAGCGUUGUUCGGAUUCACUGGGCGUAAAGGGUGCGUAGGUGGUCGGGUAAGUCUGAGGUGAAAUCUCCGAGCUCAACUCGGAAACUGCCUUGGAUACUAUCCAGCUUGAGGGUUGGAGGGGGGACUGGAAUUCUCGGUGUAGCAGUGAAAUGCGUAGAUAUCGAGAGGAACACCAGUGGCGAAGGCGAGUCCCUGGACAACUCCUGACGCUGAGGCACGAAAGCUAGGGGAGCAAACAGG
rnacentral:rRNA from 1 species